rnacentral:rRNA from 1 species
AAAAUGACUCUCAGCAACGGAAAUCUCUGCUCUCUCAUCGAUGAAGAAUGUAGCGAACUGCGAUACUUGGUGUGAAUUGCAGAAUCCCAUGAACCAUCGAGUUUUUGAACAAACGUUGUGCCCGAAGCCAUUAGGCCGAGGGCACGUCUGCCUGGGCGUCACGC